rnacentral:rRNA from 1 species
UACGAAGGGGGCUAGCGUUGCUCGGAAUUACUGGGCGUAAAGCGUGCGCAGGCGGCUCUGCAAGACAGAUGUGAAAUGCCCGGGCUCAACCUGGGAACUGCAUUUGUGACUGCAGUGCUGGAGUGCGGCAGAGGGAGAUGGAAUUCCGCGUGUAGCAGUGAAAUGCGUAGAUAUGCGGAGGAACACCGAUGGCGAAGGCAAUCUCCUGGGCCUGCACUGACGCUCAUGCACGAAAGCGUGGGGAGCAAACAGG